CAGUAGCCGCGGGAAUACGUAGGUGGCAAGCGUUGUCCGGAAUUAUUGGGCGUAAAGGGCUCGCAGGCGGUUUCUUAAGUCUGAUGUGAAGGCCCCCGGCUCAACCGGGGAGGGUCAUUGGAAACUGGGGAAACUUGAGUGCAGAAGAGGAGAGUGGAAUUCCACGUGUAGCGGUGAAAUGCGUAGAGAUGUGGAGGAACACCAGUGGCGAAGGCGACUCUCUGGUCUGUAACUGACGCUGAGGAGCGAAAGCGUGGGGAGCGAACAGGAUUAGAUACCCGAGUAGUCCCUGUCUCUUAUU
rnacentral:rRNA from 1 species